rnacentral:lncRNA from 1 species
GGUGGAAAGUAUCCGGGGUCCGUGCCAAGGGGCACGACUCACCAUCUGGAUUUUCUCUUUCAGCUCUGUCACAGAAAUUGUGCUUCAGAGCCAACGCGACUCUUGUCAACACCGUCCCCCUGAUGACAGCAGGCGUCUGCCUGAACAAUUUGACCAUCAGCCCGUCCUACCAGAAAUACUUCCUGCCCGUCAACGUCUCGGGGCAGCUGAUGUGCGUCUCCAACUGCAGUAUCCACCACCCCGACACCUACGCCUGCAAUGGCCGGGGGUACUGCUACAUCCAGCCAGGGGGACCCACCUGCUACUGCCAGCACUCGGACUGGUACUGGUUCACGGGCCGUCACUGCGAGCAAGUCGUGAGCAAGGUGGGCGUGGCAGUGGGGGUGGCACUCGGCCUGGCCGUGCUGCUGCUGGUGAUUCUCAUCCUGGCCAUCUGCCUCUGCUGGCGUCAGCGCUGGAGCGGCAAGCACAGCGUGGAGGACCUGGAGGAGAGCCAGGAGAAGUGGUACAGCAACGAGGAGUGGGAGUGGAACACGCCCCCCCAGAGAAUCGCUGCCAGGACCCCGUCCGCCCCCAGCUGGACAGGUAACGUCCCAGGUGCGUAGCCACAUUCCCCGGCUCCAAGCCCCAGCGAGCCAAGCUGACCUCAGCGUCCCCUCCCCACU